UACGUAGGGGGCAAGCGUUGUCCGGAUUUAUUGGGCGUAAAGAGCGUGUAGGCGGCUAGGUAGGUCCGUUGUGAAAACUCGAGGCUCAACCUCGAGCUGUCGGUGGAAACUGUGUGGCUAGAGUCCGGAAGAGGAGAGUGGAAUUCCCGGUGUAGCGGUGAAAUGCGCAGAUAUCGGGAAGAACACCCGUGGCGAAGGCGGCUCUCUGGGACGGUACUGACGCUGAGACGCGAAAGCGUGGGGAGCGAACAGG
rnacentral:rRNA from 1 species